rnacentral:tRNA from 1 species
GGUUUCGUGGUUGAGAGGUAAGGACACUUGUCUCUCACCCAGGAGUCCCGGGUUUGAUUCCCGGUCGAGGGACUA